ensembl:lincRNA
AUGACAUAUCCCCUUUGCUUUGUAGGGCCUCCUGCAAAACAUUCUUCCUUGAAGCCUAGCACUGGAGUGGAAGAUCCUGCUGUGAAAGGAGCAGUACAAAGAAAGAAUGUACAGACAUUGAGAGCAGGUACAUUUAAUGGAAUACUGGAAAUAAGUACAUUCAAUGAUUGGAAGUACUCACAUUAUUCUUAUUCCUAAUUCUGUUUGUUCAAAAUUGAAUGGAAGGCAUUGACAUAAAUGUUAUUGUUGGUAUCCAUAUUUGAAUAAAAAUAAAUUUAGAAGCAUAAAAAAGAUUUUAAAAAUGUAAGCUUUAACUCAGAUGUUUCUCUUUUAAUGUUUUGAAUAGCAUGAAGUUUUCAGUAUAAAAUUUUUAUACCUGUCAGGGAUUCAAAGCAGUGAAUUUUGAGACUCUAAGAUAUUUCCAGUGAGUUAAGUGCUACUUGGAGUUCUGAUCUUUACCUAGAGGAAAGCUUUACUUAUUAACAUGUCAGAUUCUGUUUUAACUUUAGAGGCUUGCUGCUAGUGUUAUUACACUGAUGAUCUGAAGCCAAUCAGAUGUUCUAAUGAGCAAGACUGUGUGUGUAGGUGUAUAUAUAGCUGUGUGUAUGUGUGUGUUUGUGGCAUCUUUGACUAUUAAAAAUGAGGAAAGUAAUGAUUCAUUUGUAACUGGUAGACACAGUCUUUUAAAAUGGUGAUUUUGAGACUUUUUGGUGUUAAGGUUUUUAAAACAUGAUUGCAUAGAGGCUACCGACAUCAUAAGUUGGUCGUUUUUCAUUUCAAUGCCCUUUUGAAAUCUUUAACUAUAUUGUGAUGCUCAGAAAUAAUAUGCAGAAUUUUUUAUUUGUGUCCCAAAAUGGUAUGUGAGUGGUUAUACACUUUACAUACCUUUCUGCCACUUUCUUUGGUGUAUUUUGUAUUAUAUUUUCCAGAUGUAUCCACAUUGAUAUGAUUAUCUCUGGUUUAAUUCAUUUUACACUUUUCAUUGUAUUCCCUUAUACCACUUUACCACAUUUAGUUAGACUCUCCUGUUGCUGAUAAAUGAAGAAAGAAAGAAAAAUAAAAAUAAUGUCAGAUUAAGUGGGCUUUUCUUUAAUCAGUUUGUAUUUAUUAAUAUUUACUAUAUGAGAUUUUAAAGUUGAAAAGUUCAGAAUACAAGCAUGCACCACCAUAUUUUAUAAAUGCCCUUAGAACUGUGACUCAUGAGCCUUUAGCCUAUGAAGUUAGGACGAUUCAUUUCUCUGAAGAAGUUUGUUGUGCUGUUCUCAGAAAAGAAAACUGAAAAUAGCAAAUGAUAUUGUCUUAUUUGACCUCUUGGACAUCUUUGAAUGAAACUGCAACUCCAGGGAUACUCAGAUCAAAAUUCAGAACUAAUGUUUUGAACAAUAUAGUUUGUGAAUGUCCAGUGGAUCAUGAGCCCUUGAUGGGAAAAUGACCUUUCAAGUUUCACUUUUGCAUUUUUUGCUCUUUUCCUUGACUUGUCUUAAAAGCUUAAAUUCAACCGUUUUAUUUUUACAGAAACCAGAAUAUAACUUUUAAAAUUUAUGUCUGUCCUGUCUCACGGUGUUGUGUACUCUUCAGAUCUUGUGUGAACAUAGACUUACGUGGGAACAAUUAGGUUUUUUGUUUGUUUGUUUGUGUUUUUGAGACAGAGUCUUGCUCUGUCACCAAGGCUGGAGUGCAGUGGCUCGGUCUUGACUCAUUACCACCUCUGCCUCUCGGGUUCAAGCAAUUCUCCUGCCUCAGCCCCUCGAGUAGCUGAUACUACCUGCAUGUGCUACCAUACCCUGCUAAAUUCUCUAUUUUUAGUAGAGAUGGGGUUUCACCAUGUUGGCCAGGCUGCUCUCAAACUCCUGAUCUCAGGUGAUCUGCCUGCCUCAGCUUGCCAGUAUGCUGGGAUUACAGGCAGGAGCCACUGUGCCAGGUACAAAUAAUAUUUUUAAGGCUAUUAUAUUUUAUACAAUUCUUUGGUCUAUGUGAAUUCUGAAGGUAUUCAUGCAUUGAGGGAAGAUCAUCUCAGUGUAAUGAAAGCAGUUUUUAAUGUAUAUUCAUUAAAAUUUUUUUUGAAUUUUUUGUCUCUAGCACACAGAAACACACAAUAUUGUCAUGGGUAUUUGACCUUAAUGUGUUUAUGCACAAACUUAGUUAUUCAAAUAUUUUCUUAUCCCUGAAGAAUCCUAAUUAUUAAUAAAAAAAUUUCUCAUGGAAAACAACAUAUAUAAUAGAGAUUGUUGAGUGAUAAAUUGUAGUAAAUAACAGAAGCUUAGAACAAGUUAAGUAAACUUGUCUGAGUUAAUAGCAAUUACAGGACUUUUAAAAUACAUUAGACCAUGAGAGAGUAGUGUGUUUGUGGGGUACAGGACAUCAUGGUCCUGCUUCAGUGAAGAAAGAACUUUUACACCUUAUUACAAUUUGUAUUACUAUUUACAUUCUAAUAAAAACUUUAUUUUCAGAUAUUUUAGAUUAUGUUUCUACUAGUUGAACCAUCAAUAGUAAGACUUUUCAAAGAUUUGGGAAGUUACGAGUUGAUGAUAAAUAUCUGUAUCACCAUCCAUGAUCAAAAAUCAGACAGCAACUACAAGACUUUGGACACGCGAACUUCAUAGUUAAAGAAAGGAUUAAUCUUGGAGCUGUGUUUUUAUCAGGGAAUUAUACUCUUCAUUACCUCUGUGAAUUGCAGUUAUUAGAGUAGAAAGAGAGCAAAGAAGGGAAACAAACAUAGAAAAUUUUAUUCUAGAUUACCUCAGUUGGCUUCAUGCUACCAUAGUUCUAGCUUUUAAAAAGUCAUUUUGUGGUCAAAUGUACUUUGUGUUUACUCCCUUUAUGCAGCCUACAACCAAACAGAAUGCUUCUUAGCAAGGCAUUUGUAUUCUUCCCUUAAGGAAAGCAACAUAUAAAUAACAAAGAGAAUGAGGAGAAAGAGUAAUUUCAUUGAAGUUGGUAUUUAACAUAAAUUUGUGUGCGGGUACCAUGAUUAUAUUUAGAAUUUUGGGCCUGGAAUAGAAAACCAGCUAGACGUCUACAGAUUUCCUACUCAAACACAAUAUGCCUUUGUUUUAUUUUUACAUCUCUAAUUUUGCAAUUAUUAGGUACAACUGUAUGCAUUGUCACUAAAAAUAUUAAAUAUUAAAUAUUUAAUAUUUAAUAUUUUUAGUGACAAAUAUUAAAUAAUGCCUAUGGCAAAACCAAAUAUUAAAUAAUGCCUAUGGCUUUCUGUAUUAUAAUGUUGAUUUCCCCAAUAUUAAUGGGAACCAUUGAGCGUUUGCCUUGUGGUGUCUCCUCAGCUGUAUUCACACAUUCCAUCACCUUGUCUUAAUGGAUAAUCAUGCACUAUGAGUAUGGGUUUUCAGAAGAGCUGUAUCAUUUAAAGAUAACACAGGAGCAUCAAAUUUAAUUCUGCUAGAAUACCUGGUCUGUUGAUUAACUGCAGCUAAUAUGGGGUCUACUUCACAUACAAGUUAAAUUCAGUGCCCUUAAUCAGUCAUAUGAUCAGGUCAACAGUAAUAAAUUAUGCAAUAUUUUUUCACCCCUAUAGUUUUAAUUUCUUUUUCCCCUUAUGUCUAGAAUUAACAUUUUAUUUUACAAAACAUGAUGAUAAUCUUCUAGAGUAGUGAUGACGAAGUAUAAAUGCAAGGUUUCUUACCUAUGCAAAUGACUUGUUUGCUUCUAUUUUCUCAUGAACUUGGUAGAUCCAGGAAACAGAACUUUUAAAACAAAAUCCCCAUAUGUGGCUGGGCGCGGUGGCUCGUGCCUGUAAUCCCAGCACUUUGGGAGGCUGAGGCGGGCAGAUAACCUGAGGUUGGGAGUUUGAGACCAGCCUGACCAACAUGGAGAAACACAUCUCUACUAAAAACACAAAAUUAGCUGUGCAUGGUGGCACAUACCUGUAAUUCCAGCUACUCGGGAGGCUGAGACAGGAGAAUCACUUGAACCUGGGAGGCAGCAGUUGUGGUGAGCUGAGAUUGCACCACUGCACUUCAGCCUGGGAAGCAAGGGUGAAACUCCAUCUCAAACAACAACAACAACAACAACAACAACAACAACAGCAGCAGCAGCAACAACCACCACAAAACCCAAAUGCAUUUCCUUGGCACAGUAAAACUGAAACAGAAAAAGUGUAAAGUAAAUACAAGUAACUGAAACAGUUUAUGUAUAUUAUUUUACUUCUCAUUUGAUAAAAUUUGUAAAGUAAUGAGCAGAGUGUAUUUCUCCAGGGACCCAGAUAUAUACAUUUAUUCAUUCAAUAAAAAUUCAUUCUUAUAAUGACCACUGAUACUUGUAUCCUAAAUAUUUCUGAAAACAUCUCCUCAGGACUGCAUCAUCUUUGCAACACUGCCUUAUAUUUUAUCUUUGUUCAUUGAUUUAUAUGCCUCAGAAUUUUAUGCUCCUCACAAUAAUUAGAGUUAAUUAUCUCUAAUGCAAAUAGAUCUGUGAACAACUCCUGAAUACCUAUGUCCAAGCAUCUUAAAGUUUUAUAUAAGGAUUUCAGAAACUGAUUUCUGGGUUGGGCAUGGUGGCUCGUGUCUAUAAUCCCAGCACUUUGGGAUGCUGAGGCAGGUGGAUCAUUUGAGGUCAGGAGUUCAAGACCAGCCUGGCCAACAAGGCGAAACCCCA